rnacentral:piRNA from 1 species
UCUCAAGUGAGAUGCAGGAAGCAUCAUUGA